rnacentral:rRNA from 1 species
GGCGAACGCUGGCGGCGUGCUUAACACAUGCAAGUCGAACGGAAAGGCCCUGCUUUUGUUGGGUGCUCGAGUGGCGAACGGGUGAGUAACACGUGAGUAACCUGCCCUUGACUUUGUGAUAACUUCAGGAAACUGGGGCUAAUACCGGAUAGGAUCUCCUGCUGCAUGGUGUUGGGUUGUAAAUUUUCGGCGGUUGGUGAUGUACUGGCGGCUUAUCAGCUUGUUGGUGGGGUAGUGGCUUACCAAGGCUUUGACGGGUAGCCGGCCUGAGAGGGUGACCGGCCACAUUGGGACUGAGAUACGGCCCAGACUCCUAAGGGAGGCAGCAGUGGGGAAUAUUGAACAAUGGGCGGAAGGCUGAUGAAGCAACGCCGCGUGCGGGAUGACGGCCUUAGGGUUGUAAACCGAUUUCGCCUGUGACGAAGCGUGAGUGACGGUAAUGGGUAAAGAAGCACCGGCUAAAUAAGUG